rnacentral:rRNA from 1 species
ACGUUAGCGGCGGACGGGUGAGUAACACGUGGGUAACCUACCUAUAAGACUGGGAUAACUCCGGGAAACCGGGGCUAAUACCGGAUAACACAUGAAACCGCAUGGUUUCAUGAUGAAAGACGGUUUUGCUGUCACUUAUAGAUGGACCCGCGGCGUAUUAGCUAGUUGGUAAGGUAACGGCUUACCAAGGCAACGAUACGUAGCCGACCUGAGAGGGUGAUCGGCCACACUGGAACUGAGACACGGUCCAGACUCCUACGGGAGGCAGCAGGA